rnacentral:rRNA from 1 species
AUUGAACGCUGGCGGCAGGCCUAACACAUGCAAGUCGAACGGUAACAGGAAACUGCUUCCUGUUUCGCUGACGAGUGGCGGGCGUGUGAGUAAUGUCUGUGCCACUGCCUGAGGGAGGGGGCUAACUACUGGAAACGGUAGCUGCUACCGCCUAGCGUGGCAAGACCAAGGAGGGAGACCCUCGGGCCUCUUGCCAUCGGCUGUGCCCAGAUGGGAUUAGCUUGUUGGUGGGGUAAAGGCUUACCAAGGCGACGAUCCGUAGCUGGUCUGAGAGGACGACCAGCCACACUGGAACUGAGACACGGCCCAGACUCCUACGGGAGGCAGCAGUGGGGAAUAUUGGACAAUGGGCGCAAGCCUGAUGCAGCCAUGCCGCGUGCAGGAAGAAGGCCUUCGGGUUGUAAAGUGCUUUCAGUCGGGAGGAAGGGCUCAAAGUUAAUACCCCGGCGCAUUGACGUUACCGGAAGAAUAAGCACCGGCUAACUACGUG